rnacentral:rRNA from 1 species
CAUAAUGUCAUUUAUUUGAUGUUGUGGGGAAUUAGGACUGUUACCUUGAAAAAAUUAGAGUGUUUAAAGCAGGCUAACGCUUGAAUACAUUAGCAUGGAAUAAUGAAAUAGGACAUCGCAUUCUAUUUUGUUGGUUUCUAGGAUCGAUGUAAUGAUUAAUAGGGAUAGUUGGGGGCAUUAGUAUUCAAUUGUCAGAGGUGAAAUUCUUGGAGUUAUUGAAGACUAACUACUGCGAAAGCAUUUGCCAAGGAUGUUUUCAUUAAUCAAGAACGAAAGUUAGGGGAUCGAAGACGAUCAGAUACCGUCGUAGUCUUAACCAUAAACUAUGCCGACUAGGGAUCGGAUGAUGUUGAUUUUUUAAUGACUCAUUCGGCACCUUACGGGAAACCAAAGUCUUUGGGUUCCGGGGGGAGUAUGGUCGCAAGGCUGAAACUUAAAGGAAUUGACGGAAGGGCACCACCAGGCGUGGAGCCUGCG